rnacentral:rRNA from 1 species
AACGAACGCUGGCGGCAUGCCUAACACAUGCAAGUCGAACGAAGCCUUCGGGCUUAGUGGCGCACGGGUGCGUAACGCGUGGGAAUCUGCCCUUGGGUUCGGAAUAACAGUUAGAAAUGACUGCUAAUACCGGAUGAUGUCUUCGGACCAAAGAUUUAUCGCCCAAGGAUGAGCCCGCGUAGGAUUAGGUAGUUGGUGGGGUAAUGGCCCACCAAGCCGACGAUCCUUAGCUGGUCUGAGAGGAUGAUCAGUCACACUGGGACUGAGACACGGCCCAGACUCCUACGGGAGGCAGCAGUGGGGAAUAUUGGACAAUGGGCGCAAGCCUGAUCCAGCAAUGCCGCGUGAGUGAUGAAGGCCUUCGGGUCGUAAAGCUCUUUUACCAGGGAUGAUAAUGACAGUACCUGGAGAAUAAGCUCCGGCUAACUCCGUGCCAGCCGCCGCCGUAA